UAUUGUGAUUCUGUGUUAACACUUCUGGAUGGUCUAGCCUGGGUAUUAUGAUGCUCAAAGAUGCAGAGGUCAUGAAAGGAAUUCAGAAGCCCUGCUUCCUGUCAGCACUGGAUGAGGUUGGUCUUGAGGUUGAUAUCAUCAUGAAAGCCCUGGACUCUAUGCUCCACCCUGUUGCCGUCACCAUUAACCAUUACCAUCUACAACACAAUUAUUCCAGAUUUUAGACUUUUAGAAGAAGGAAAGAAAGCUGAAGAGGUGCUUGAGAUCCAAGAAGACAGAUCUAUAGAAAUCAAAUCCCUCCGAGAAAGGCUCAGAGACCAUCGUGUAAGAGGGGUAGAGAGAUCCUAAGAGCCAUAGGCUGGGGAAGACCAAUCCAAACCAGUGUCGUCUGAACUCGACAGAACCGCUAUACUCAUAAACUCACAGCCUCCCAUGGUUGCCUGCAUAAGACUUGCACAUGAUGAACCCAGUCAAAAAUCUGAGCACAGGGUGGGUAAGGGCUUAUGAGUCUCCACAUCUCCCUGAAGAGCUAUUGACAAUUGGUGGCUUCUGUGGGGAAGGAGAGUUGGUUUUCUUUAAGUGUGUAUGUGUGGUGUGGUCAUGGUAGACUGACCAUGCUCCAGUAAAUGACCCCACCAACACUCAUGAAUGUAUGAACAGUAUAAAGAAAGAAAAGAAAAGGAAGACAUGAUGUUGGGAUAAGGUGGGAAAUGAAGUAUAUGUCUGAGAAGUGGAAAGUGAAUAUUAUUAAACUACAUUGUAU